ACAAGCGGUCGGAGCCGCGCAAGCGGUGACGGCGUGCCUUUUGCAUAAUGAACCUACGAGUUACCAUGUCCGGCAAGGUUUAGCGGUUCAGCCGCGCAGCCUCAGUGAAAGCGAGCCUGAAUAGGGCGUUUAAGUCGGAUGGGGUAGACGCGAAACCAAGUGAUCUACACUUGCCCAGGUUGAAGUUCCGGUAACACGGAAUGGAGGACCGAACCAAUAAGCGUUGAAAAGCUUCUGGAUGAG
rnacentral:rRNA from 1 species